GGGGUAUAGCUCAGUGGUAAAGCAUUCGGCUGCAGUUCGAAGGUUCCGGUUCAAACCCGGGUUUCCUCUUCA